rnacentral:lncRNA from 1 species
AUGAUUCCUCUCUCAGAUGAAAUGCUGAAAAAAGAAGUGGAUGACGCUCAAUCAAAGGAAAUAUGUGAUACCAAAUCUGUAGAUAUUAGGCAUAGUGAUUUUAAAAUAGUCGGAGGAUCUACUGGUAAGGAGAAAAUGUAUACUAGUUAUUCAACCGGUGAAGACCAGCACAUUCAGGAAGAAGGUGUCUUAACAAGCGGAAUAAUUGCUGAGCUCCGUCGUGAAGCCCACGAUUUGCGGAGUAGCACACCUGGCUCUGAAGCAAGUGAUCGUGAUUAUGAACUAGGAGACCGAUCUACGCCACAGAGUGAUCUCAGCAGUGGACAAAUCAGCCGAGCCGGCAUGCAAAUGUGGCGACCUGGUGACAGUGAUGAAGAAUUACCCGGCUCUCCGAUGAGCACGGCCUCACAUGUCACCCACUCACCGUCUCAUUCUGAAUAUGAAACGGAGGGACAUAAGAUGUCCUCUGUCAUGACAAGUUCUUUAUACGGGGCGCUACCUGAGACUUUCGAGCAAUCAUCGGAUGGAAACCUCGGUGGACAUGAGAUGUAUUCUUCUGUUUAUGUUCCUAAAGAGGAAGACGAGGAGGAAGAGGAGAUUGAAAAUUUAGUUUAUUCUUCAGAGUACAGCAAGCAGUUUCUCCUCAAGAGUGAUGAAAUGAUCGAUUUUGAUAAGGCAAUGAAAGAACACAAGUCGAAACGUGGAGAAGAGCUGGGAUCUUACAUGACAUUCUCAAGUGGUGGUCACACAGAGACUAGUUCUGGCGGACCUGAACAUUUAAGUGACGACAUAGGGAAUGGUAAUAUUCUGUUGACAACAAUAUUAACCGUAAUAUUCCCCUUGAGCACACUGACUCUACUUUCACGACCGUGUCUCAAGGAACAACAACAUCUACUCACACAAUCAGCCAGUCAAUAUAUCCUGCAGAAACACAUUCCCACACGACAUCUAGCACAUCUCACGAUAAUGACAAGGAUCCGAUCGGAGGAUGGGGUAAACCGCUUGGUCUUCCACCUCCCCCAAAUAAUAUAA